UUUUAUGCUCUGUAAUUGGAAUGAUGGGAAUCCAAACCCCUUUCAGAGUAACAAUUGGAGGGCAAGUCUGGUGCCAGCAGCCGCGGUAAUUCCAGCUCCAAUAGCGUAUAUUAGAGUUGUUGCAGUUAAAAAGCUCGUAGUUGGAUUUCUGUCGUGGUCUUCCGGUGCCGCCCGUAUGGGUGCGCACUUGGUUUGCCCUCGGCAUUCUUCCGGUUUCCUUCCCCGCUUCAUUGCGUGGUUGGUUUUUCCGGAACUUUUACUUUGAGAAAAAUAGAGUGUUUCAAGCAGGCUUCCGCCUUGAAUACUUCAGCAUGGAAUAAUAAAAUAGGACUUUGGUUCUAUUUUGUUGGUUUCUAGGACUAAAGUAAUGAUUAAUAGGGACAGUUGGGGGCAUUCGUAUUUAACUGUCAGAGGUGAAAUUCUUAGAUUUGUUAAAGACGAACUACUGCGAAAGCAUUUGCCAAGGAUGUUUUCAUUAAUCAAGAACGACAGUAGGGGGUU
rnacentral:rRNA from 1 species